GAUGAACGCUGGCGGCGUGCCUAACACAUGCAAGUCGAACGGCAAGGCCCUGCUUUUGUGGGGUGCCCGAGUGCCGAACGGGUGAGGAACACGUGUAUAUCCGGCCCUUGUUUUUCGGAUAACUUUACGUAACUGGGGCUAUUCUCGGAUAGCAUCUCCUGCUGCAUGGUGGGGGUUGGAAAGUUUCGGCGGUUGGGGAUGGACUCGCGGCUUAUCAGCUUGUUGGUGGGGUAGUGGCUUACCAAGGUUUUGACGGGUAGCCGGCCUGAGAGGGUGACCGGCCACAUUGGGACUGAGAUACGGCCCAGACUCCUACGGGAGGCAGCAGUGGGGAAUAUUGCACAAUGGGCGGAAGCCUGAUGCAGCAACGCCGCGUGCGGGAUGACGGCCUUCGGGUUGUAAACCGCUUUCGCCUGUGACGAAGCGUGAGUGACGGUAAUGGGUAAAGAAGCACCGGCUAACUACGUG
rnacentral:rRNA from 1 species